AGAGUUGUGGCUCAGCAAUAGAGCAUCUGCCUAGCAAACAUAAGGCUCUGAGUUCCAACCUCAGUACUUUCA
rnacentral:tRNA from 1 species